rnacentral:pre_miRNA from 1 species
UGAUGAUGAUGAUGGUGAUGAUGAUGAUGAUGAUGAUGGUGAUGAUGAUGAUGAUGAUGAUACAUAGAAAUACACACUUUAUUGUUUGUCCCCGUUCUGGUUUUUUUUAUUUCUAUCAAUAUAAUUUUCGCGCUCUUCACCGUCCCUACCCAUCACCCUCAUCAUUAUCAUCAUCUUCAUCAUCAUGA